UUUGAAGAUAUAAUCGGUCUAGCCUGCUCACUGACAAAAAGUUGUUUAAGAGCCGCGGUAUUUUGACCGUGCAAAGGUAGCAUAAUCAUUAGUUUCUUAAUUGGGAGCUUGUAUGAAGGGUUGGACGAAAGAAUAGCUGUCUCUAUUGUAAAAAUUGAAUUUGACCUUUAAGUGAAAAGGCUUAAAUAUUUCAGGGGGACGAUAAGACCCUAUAAAGCUUUACAUAAUCAUUAAGUUUGACUGAAUUAGUAAAAUAAAUGUUUAGCUAAGUUAUUAUGUUUUAUUGGGGCGAUAUAGGUAUAAAUUUAAUUAACUGCUUAAAUAAUAUACAAUAAUAGAUGAGAAAGUAAAAGAUCCUUUUUAGAGAUUAAAAGACUAAGUUACUUUAGGGAUAACAGCGUUAUUUCUUUUGAGAGUUCCUAUCGAAAAAGAAGUUUGCGACCUCGAUGUUGAAUUAAAAUGUCUAUAUAGUGCAGCCGCUAUAAGAGAGGGUCUGUU
rnacentral:rRNA from 1 species